GGCUGCUGUUGUUGCUCUGAUUGUUGCUGCUUUUCUAUCAGUCCAAUAACAAUCUUCCUAAUUGCAGCUUCAGUGAGAGGAGCAUCUUGUGUGGGCAGUGCUGGUGGGUUCACAACUGCAGGUGGCAGCACUGUUACUGAGACACAGGUUGGGUCACUUUCCAUGGUUAAGUGCUGCCACAGUUGUUGGCUCGCCCAAAACUUUUCAGGACUGGUGUUAAGUGAAGAACUGGUGUUUUUUAAUUUGGCCAGGUGUUUAAUAUACCUUCCUGUUUGGUGGUUGGGGGAAGCAGGCUGUUGGGGUGUACACAUGAGCUUACUUGUACAGAAUCCCAUCCUCCCAUUCAGGGUCACAGAGACAGCCUAAAUGAUAUCAAGCAAAGAGAAAACACUAUUAAUAAUUGUAUUAUUUGAAAUAUACCUUUCAGGCUAAUGUACAAAUAAUACUGUAAACUGUAGAAUAUACACACACAACCUUCAACUUGACAAAUCUAUGACCCCUCCCCGAAUAUACACACAAUCGCAACUGGACAAAUCUAUAACUCCUCCCCACAUAUACACACAAACUCAAUUGGACAAAUCUAUAACCCCUCCCCACAUACACACACAACCUCAACUGGACAAAUCUAUAACACUCACCACAUACACACACAACCCUGAACCGGACAAUUCUUGCACCUUACAAAUCCUGUAUUAUACUUUUUUGUAAUUAAUGCGCACAGUCUACUGUUUUUACACUCUGUCCACUAUUCUUAUUUAUUUUUUACUUCUUUUGUACAAAAUUGCUGCACCAAAGGACGAGAACAAAUUCCUGGUUUGUUGCGAGACUUACUUGGCAAUAAAGCUCUUCCUGAUUCUGAUGAAAUAUAUUACUUAAUUAUGAAAUAUAGCUUUCAGGCUAUUCUGUACUAUCUAUACAGAAAUAGCUACAACAUUGAAAGCGCUCCAAUUGUGUAAUUCUUGAAAACAUAGAGUACUUGUUGUUUGUUAUUUCGAUCGCGCUAUAAAAU
ensembl:lncRNA